rnacentral:rRNA from 1 species
GUGCCAGGCCGCUGCGGUAAUACGGAGGGUGCAAGCGUUGUCCGGAAUCACUGGGCGUAAAGGGUGCGCAGGCGGGGCAGCAAGUCGGAGGUGAAAGCCCAUGGCCCAACCAUGGAAGUGCCUUCGAAACUGUUGCUCUUGAGUCCCGGAGAGGCUGUCGGAAUUCGUGGUGUAGUGGUGAAAUGCGUAGAUAUCACGAGGAACACCAGAGGCGAAAGCGGACAGCUGGACGGGUACUGACGCUCAGGCACGAAAGCGGGGGGAGCAAACAGGAUUAGAUACCCGGGUAGUCC